rnacentral:rRNA from 1 species
CAGGCCUAACACAUGCAAGUCGAGCGGCAGCGGAAAGUAGCUUGCUACUUUGCCGGCGAGCGGCGGACGGGUGAGUAAUGUCUGGGAAACUGCCUGAUGGAGGGGGAUAACUACUGGAAACGGUAGCUAAUACCGCAUAACGUCGCAAGACCAAAGAGGGGGACCUUCGGGCCUCUUGCCAUCAGAUGUGCCCAGAUGGGAUUAGCUAGUAGGUGGGGUAACGGCUCACCUAGGCGACGAUCCCUAGCUGGUCUGAGAGGAUGACCAGCCACACUGGAACUGAGACACGGUCCUUACUCCUACGGGAGGCAGCAGUGGGGAAUAUUGCACAAUGGGCGCAAGCCUGAUGCAGCCAUGCCGCGUGUAUGAAGAAGGCCUUCGGGUUGUAAAGUACUUUCAGCGGGGAGGAAGGUGUUGAGGUUAAUAACCUCAGCAAUUGACGUUACCCGCAGAAGAAGCACCGGCUAACUCCGUGCCAGCAGCCGCGGUAAU